AGUGAACGCUGGCGGUAGGCCUAACACAUGCAAGUCGAGCGGCAGCACAGUAGGAGCUUGCUCUUACGGGUGGCGAGUGGCGGACGGGUGAGGAAUACAUCGGAAUCUACUUUUUCGUGGGGGAUAACGUAGGGAAACUUACGCUAAUACCGCAUACGACCUACGGGUGAAAGCAGGGGAUCUUCGGACCUUGCGCGAUUGAAUGAGCCGAUGUCGGAUUAGCUAGUUGGCGGGGUAAAGGCCCACCAAGGCGACGAUCCGUAGCUGGUCUGAGAGGAUGAUCAGCCACACUGGAACUGAGACACGGUCCAGACUCCUACGGGAGGCAGCAGUGGGGAAUAUUGGACAAUGGGCGCAAGCCUGAUCCAGCCAUACCGCGUGGGUGAAGAAGGCCUUCGGGUUGUAAAGCCCUUUUGUUGGGAAAGAAAAGCAGCAGGUUAAUACCCCGCUGUUCUGACGGUACCCAAAGAAUAAGCACCGGCUAACUUCGUG
rnacentral:rRNA from 1 species